UUUCCAAAGGUAGCGUCAAAUCUAUCUGUGGUAGCGGUGUUCACUGUACAGACAAGGCGGAAGAUGUAGCCGGAGGCAUUUGUUUGUUGUAUAAUGCAUAACAUGAAGCAGGAUUGGAGAGACAGUUCCAACUGGAGAAAGGCUUUCUAAUAUGUGGGUAUAAAAAGGACCCCACAUACUUUGAGUGGAGUUUCUGGAGUCACUUGGCUAGGAAGGCUCUGCAAUGGACUCUGUUGGGCCAUGCCGUGGUCUCCAGACUAGCCAGCUUCUUCGUUCCUAAGUUCAGAGUGACAUCUCUGUCGGCCUGCAGUGCGUUGCGGAUUAAAGGAGUGGGCGUGGUCCUGGCCCAUCUGGGCCUGUCAUUGGCUGUUGCCCAGCUGCGUAAACCUGCCCUGUCCUGGAGCUGUGCCCUGCUGCUGCUCUCCACCCUCCACUUCUCUCUCUGUCUCUGUCUCUCUCUCUGUCUCUCUCUCUCUCAAUUUAAGGGCUUU